UCCCCUCUAUUCUCUUGAUUUUCUUCACUCCCAAGGCUUCACUUUCUUCUCUUCACUGGUUCCGUUUCUCUUGCCCUUCCCGCUUGUCUUUCUUUCUUCGCUUAGGAGGUGAAGAUAGCAUCGAAUCGAUCAGUCGAAAAGCACAAGGAAGAGUCUCAGAAGGCAUCGAAGAAGGGUUUUUUGAAAUCAGAACAUGAUUUCAGGCCUUAUAACUUUGUUCUUUUUCUGGAUAGAGCGAUAUUAGGUUGUUUUUCAUAGUCGCAGACGAAGCGCUGUAUCUCUCUUUCUGUUGACGCUUCAACACCUCCAAGUGCUACAAGGGCUCGAAGGUCAUGAAUUGGUGAAAUCAACAAACUGUCAUCGAAAGGUGGCGAUGGCGAGAGGCAGAUCGAGGCGAAACGUUGCGUCGCUUGUCAAGAUGCCACUGCUGGAAUCAGGAAUUCCUCCAUAUCCUAUUUCUGAGGCAUCUGUUUCUACUAUUUUGAAAGCUAAAGGGUUAGCUAUUCCUAAACAGGAAUUUUGAACAUAGAAAGCAGAACAACUCUAAGGAGAUUUACUUGGCCUAAUUAAUUUUUUAUCAAGAAGUUGUUGAAUUUCUUGCUUACAAUAUUCAAGUAAUUCUUGAUUCAUUUGUAUAGGUUUAGCUUUAGUAGGUAUUUGUCUUUCAUUAAAAUUUUCUU